ACAGAGCAGGUAGAGAACAGAGCAGGAAGAGAACAGAGCAGGAAGAGAACAGAGCAGGAAGAGAACAGAGCAGGUAGAGAACAGAGCAGGUAGAGAACAGAGCAGGUAGAGAACAGAGCAGGUAGAGAACAGAGCAGGAAGAGAACAGAGCAGGAAGAGAACAGAGCAGGAAGAGAACAGAGCAGGUAGAGAACAGAGCAGGUAGAGAACAGAGCAGGUAGAGAACAGAGCAGGUAGAGAACAGAGCAGGUAGAGAACAGAGCAGGUAGAGAACAGAGCAGGUAGAGAACAGAGCAGGAAGAGAACAGAGCAGGUAGAGAACAGAGCAGGAAGAGAACAGAGCAGGUAGAGAACAGAGCAGGAAGAGAACAGAGCAGGUAGAGAACAGAGCAGGAAGAGAACAGAGCAGGAAGAGAACAGAGCAGGAAGUGAACAGAGCAGGAAGAGAACAGAACAGGAAGAGAACAGAGCAGGAAGAGAACAGAGCAGGAAGAGAACAGAGCAGGAAGAGAAUAGAGCAGGAAGAGAAUAGAGCAGGAAGAGAAUA